rnacentral:tRNA from 1 species
GGGUUAAUAGCAUAUAUUUAAAGUGCAUUGGAUUGCAGAUCCAAAGGAGUUUAAUAAACUUAAUCUUA